GCAAACUUGGUCAUUUAGAGGAAGUAAAAGUCGUAACAAGGUUUCCGUAGGUGAACCUGCGGAAGGAUCAUUAGAAAGAGUGCCCCCCGGCCGGCCCCCACGGGCCCCCGGGGCGGUUCCCUCCACCCGUGCCUACAGAAUUCAUUUGCCUCGGCGGGCCGGCCCCGUGACGGGGUCGAUUCGGCGGCGUCACGCCGCCGAGACCGUGUCCGCCGGAGGAAACUCACAACAUCGUUUUUCUAUCCAGUCUUAGUGGACCACACGUUAAAAUUAGUUAAAACUUUCAACAAUGGAUCUCUUGGUUCCGGCAUCGAUGAAGAACGCAGC
rnacentral:misc_RNA from 1 species